rnacentral:rRNA from 1 species
AUUGAACGCUGGCGGCAGGCCUAACACAUGCAAGUCGAACGAGUGGCGGACGGGUGAGUAAUGUCUGGGAAACUGCCUGAUGGAGGGGGAUAAAUACUGGAAACGGUAGCUAAUACCGCAUACCAUCGGAUGUGCCCAGAUGGGAUUAGCUAGUAGGUGGGGUAACGGCUAACCUAGGCGACGAUCCCUAGCUGGUUUGAGAGGAUGACCACCCAAACUGGAACGGGGAAACGGUCAAGAUCCCUACGGGAGGAGGAAGUGGGGAAUAUUGCACAAUGGGCGCAAGCCUGCUGCAGCACGGCCGCGGGUAUGAAGAAGGCUUUCGGGUUGUAAAGUACUUUCAGCGGGGAGGCGUUACCCGCAGAAGAAGCACCGGCUAACUCCGUGCCAGCAGCCGCGGUAAUUC